CUCUUCUAUUAAAUGAGUGCUGUUCAGAUUGAUUUUUACAGAAUAUUUCCAAAAUUCACAGUAGUUAAGAAAAUAUAAUUUGUAAUAUAAUGAAGUGCUUGGCUAAAAUGAAAUCCUUCUUACUAAAACUGCUUUCUCAGAAACAGUUAAUGAACCCAGAUUCACUUAAUUGAAAUGGAUCAGAAUGGUUUAAUAAUCUUGGUUUUAAAAAGUUUUUAAAAAUCAGCUUUAUGUCUUUUCCUUGCUAUCACUGUUAAAGAUAGCAUGAGUCUAUUUUAUUUUUAUAAGAUUUAAGAUAGCUUUAUUAUAAAGUGUCCUAAUUAGACUGAACUUCCUAAAUAUCUUAUAUAGG
rnacentral:lncRNA from 1 species